rnacentral:sRNA from 1 species
AGGUGUCUGGCAUCUGACCAGGGGCGAUGACAUUUGCCAUAACGGUGAAGCUGAGGUGCUACAAGGCCCAAUCACUCCACCAAUGU